UUUUGACAACCCAAAAUUUCACAAACAUAAGAAUUUCAGCAAGGAGGAGCAGUGGCAAGAGCAAGGAGUGGCAGCCAAGAAACUAAGGAUUCACCAAGUAAGACGCGAGGCAGAGGCAGUAGCUUCAUUCUGCUUGAGAGAAAGAAAGAAAAGGGGCAGGCGAUUUGUUGGGCGAUUUUCGGCGAUUCUCGCCGAUUUCCGGCCAUUUCCUCUUAUUUUUCGGAUAAAUCGCUCAAGGGCAAGUGAGGUCAAAACGAAUAAUUGAAUUGAAGAAUAAGCAUACCAGGUUGAAUGUCAAGAGGAUGGAGUGAUGAUCGGAGUCGAUGUUAUCAAGUUGAUCUUCCAACGAUUCGUGUCUUCAUACACGAAGUCGUUUUGUAAGGACUUAUUCCGCUGUGCUUUUAGAAUUGUAGAACCUCACCAUCAACUCUGAUUUGUUUGAGGUGAUGUUUAUUCUAUUUUUCAAGACCAUGUAAUGAAAUACUUGGCUUCUAUGAUA